UACGAAGGGGGCUAGCGUUGCUCGGAAUCACUGGGCGUAAAGGGUGCGUAGGCGGGUCUUUAAGUCAGGGGUGAAAUCCUGGAGCUCAACUCCAGAACUGCCUUUGAUACUGAAGAUCUUGAGUUCGGGAGAGGUGAGUGGAACUGCGAGUGUAGAGGUGAAAUUCGUAGAUAUUCGCAAGAACACCAGUGGCGAAGGCGGCUCACUGGCCCGGUACUGACGCUGAAAUACGAAAGCGUGGGGAGCAAACAGGG
rnacentral:rRNA from 1 species